UGCUAGACUGAUGGCGACCGGCGCACGGGUGCGUAACGCGUAUGCAACUUGCCUCACAGAGGGGGAUAACCCGUCGAAAGACGGACUAAUACCGCGUACACUUGGGAUAGGGCAUCCUAAUCCAAGGAAAUGAAAUUCGCUGUGAGAUAGGCAUGCGUCCCAUUAGCUAGUUGGUGAGGUAACGGCUCACCAAGGCGACGAUGGGUAGGGGAACUGAGAGGUUGAACCCCCACACUGGUACUGAGACACGGACCAGACUCCUACGGGAGGCAGCAGUGAGGAAUAUUGGUCAAUGGGCGAGAGCCUGAACCAGCCAAGUCGCGUGAAGGAUGACUGUCUUAUGGAUUGUAAACUUCUUUUGUAGGGGAAUAAAGAAUGGUACGUGUACCAUAGUGAAUGUACCCUACGAAUAAGCAUCGGCUAACUCCGUGCCAGCAGCCGCGGUAAUACGGAGGAUGCGAGCGUUAUCCGGAUUUAUUGGGUUUAAAGGGUGCGUAGGCGGCCUGUUAAGUCAGCGGUGAAAUCUAGGGGCUUAACUCCUAAAUUGCCAUUGAUACUGGUGGGCUUGAGUGUAGAUGAAGUAGGCGGAAUGCGUGGUGUAGCGGUGGAAUGCAUAGAUAUCACGCAGAACUCCCAUUGCGAAGGCAGCUUACUAAGGUACAACUGACGCUGAAGCACGAAAGCGUGGGUAUCAAACANGAUUAGAUACCCUGGUAGUCCACGCAGUAAACCAUGAUAACUGGGCGUAUGCGAUAUACAGUAUGCUCCUAAGCGAAAGCGUUAAAGUUAU
rnacentral:rRNA from 1 species